rnacentral:lncRNA from 1 species
GAACUAUAAUUAUUUAGAUACGAAGAAAAUAUUUUAUAUUAAGGUUGUAAUUACUGAACCACCAUUUUAAAUCGCAAAAGACCAUGACGAUUUAAGACAACAACGAUUCUAGCACAUAGCACUAAUUGGUGACUGACGGUGCUUUGACGACCAACCUGACCAUGUAGCUCUCAUGUCAGGGUGAUAUGACAUGCAUAUGUGGAUACUGUUUACUUUCUUCCUUCCUUUUUCAUGGGCAUUUCGUCAAGUAGCUUCUAGGAGGCCGCUAUGCUUUUUUAGCUACCAGGACUGGUCCUUAGCUUCCCUUUCGCGUCCGCAAAUUCGCCAACAUCACCUGCAAGCUCGCCUCCCACGUGCGAGUAGAGUGCUCGCUCCCAUCUCCUCCCUGCAACUCCAUGCUUGCUACCCCCUCCAUUUCGAUGAAUAAGAUGUGCAUGAUAACCAAAAUUCAACUUUAGGCCCUGCUUGGAAUGCCGUUUUAUUUUUACAAAUGUAAUAUUUUACAGAGGUAUUAUAUCGUUCAUAGUAUAAAAUCAGCUGAAAACUAAACCGAUGGAUGAAGGUGUGUAUUAUUUUUACAAGUGUAUUUGGCAAAAAAAAGACAUCCCAAACAGGACCUUAACAGUAUAUUAGUUCAAAACAUAUAUUAUUUUGUGGCUUAAAAGUUAUAUCAUUGAAAGCUUCUUUUCAAUAUGAAC